GACCUAAUGGCGAAUGGAUCGCUCCUACCUCGUAUAACUUUUCUUGCAGAGCUCCGAGCUGAAAUGUGGGAAUCCUGGUUCGAAUCCAGGUUAGGUCG